rnacentral:rRNA from 1 species
AUGUAAUGUAAUGCCUACAACAUUAAUACACUAGAUCCCAUUAUAAAUAUGUAUUUAAGAGUGCUUGGGAUAAAGUAUUAUUAGGAUGGGUGACCUCCUGAGAAGUCCUAAUGUUUUACAUG